AGUCUGAAGACUGAGCAAAUAAUUUUCACUUCAGUUUCAGUUUAUAAACCAUGAAAUAUAAGAAAGGGAAGCAGCUCAUAUGUGGCAAAGAAAGACACAGGUCGCAGGCAGCUGGCAGGUGUCCUGUGUGUCAACAAGCUGCGCGAGGUGGACGAAUCAGCAGAGAGACAGAAGAGCAGGAGAGCAGGUCAGAGAGUCCUUGGAAGGUGGGGCGUGGCCGGGGACAGGUCCUCCCGCUUCAUAUUUGGCCACGCCUGCGUAGUCAUCCCUCUUGGUUAUGGAGCCUCUGAAGCACUGGCAUGGGGCCAGAGUGGAGAUGGGUUUUGGGGGCUUCCUGACCGGUAUCCUGGGCGCCAAAGGUCUGUUGGGCUUGCGUCAAGGCAGGCAGCAGCACUCAGAGACAGUGGUGCAGAGGUGCCUCUGCCAGAAACAGUUUAUUUCCAUCAACCAGAUUUCCAUUUUGGUGCAAGUUCUACAGGUGUUUGGAAGAACAGCUUACGACCACUCUGUGGUGGUUCCUACCCAUUCCGUGGCCUCGGGCAGUGGGGGCUGCAGACCAGUCUUCAGUGGAAGGCUGAGCACUCCAGUCUUCAGUAGGGAACUGCUGAAUGGGCAUGGAAGGCACCUGCACGCCUUCGGACCAGUCUGCCACCUCAAGCUGGGCAGCCGUGAACUCUGGAGCUGGAGUGGUUCAGUCUCCCUGAAACUCCUCCUUGGUCACAGCCUUCUCAGCUGCUGCCUGCUCUUCCUUUUCAAUCUCCUCAGGAUCUCUGUAGAAGUAGAGGUCCGGCAUGACCUCCCACGGGUGUUCUCGGGAGAUGGUGCCACGCAUGCGCAGGAUUUCCCGGGCGAGCAGCCACCACAUCAGACCCACUGAGUGCGCUCCAACUGCAUGAGAAUAUUUCAGAAUUCACCGAAGAUUUUGUCAUGUAAAUUAUUUUUAGUUACAUUCUUUGAAAUGUAACUUUGAAGAAUAAGAUUCCCAUCAAGUGAAUGAAAAACUUAAGAAUUCUUGAAGUGUAUUACUUUUUAAUGUGAAGUGAUGAUAAACAACAAAGUUAUGGUAUUUAUUUAUCUUUAGGAAAAACUGCGUGAGAUAUUUUUAAAGAAAUACAUAAUAAUAUCAUGCAUAUGUGAAGGGGAAAAAGUAUGAAAGUACUGAAGUAAUUCCAAAAGUUAGCAUAAAAUUUCCAUCUUGUUUUUCAUUUUAGUGAAUUCAGAGUUUAUGAUUUGCAUAAUAAUCUCUCAAGCUGCUUUUCUGAGGUUAGAACACCAAAUCAGCAAGUUUACUGCUAUUGUGCUUUUAUCAUUAGGUGAUCUUCUAGAGUUAAUCUAAGAUAAAUUUAUUUAAAUAAAUUAUUGUUGUAAUGCAUUAUUUAUUUUUAUUAUGAAGUUUACUGUUUCCCCAAAAAUAGUAAUGGGAAAACAUUAUUAAAAUAAUAUAUAUGUAGGCUGCAGUCCACAGGGUCGCUAAGGGUCGGACAGGACUGAGCGACUUCACUUUCACUUUUCACUUUCAUGCAUUGGAGAAGGAAAUGGCAACCCACUCCAAUGUUCUUGCCUGGAUAAUCCCAGGGACUGGGGAGCCUGGUGGGCUGCCGUCUAUGGGGUCGCACAGAGUCGGACACGACUGAAGUGACUUAGUAUGUUUUGAAGGUCAGGUCGGUAUAUGAAUUGAACCAUAAAAUAACCUGUAAUAAUUACAGCUACCUUUUGAACAUGAUCUGUAUUAUUGCCAGAGUAUAAAAAUAAUUUGAAAUCACGGUAUAUUAGCAAUUAAAGAGCAAUGUUAUACCUGAAUGGCCCUGAUUAAGUGAUAUAGAAAAAUUAAACUCCACCAUAAUUUUACACUUUAUUGUAUAUAGAACCACUGAUUAAAAUAUCAUUGCAAUCUUCUUAGAUAAUUACAGGAGAGGUAGGAGAUUUUCAGGUACAAAAUGAUUUUCCCUUGAAUUCUGGAAUGUAGAACGAAACCAUUUAAAAACAAAAGCUGACCACAUAUUCUUAGGUUACAUAAAAUUCAAAAAUCCUUAUCUGUGUUAAUGGGGAAAGGUCUUUAAUAAGUUAUUUUACAUUUCAAAGUAACAAGACUAAUACAUGCUAUUUUAUUAGCUGGUAGCUAAGACUUAUCUAAAUAUAAUCAAUGCGUGUUUAUAAUGGUGGAAUUUUUCAUGAAAAUGGAACAAAUUUCUUAUGAUUUCACUGAGUUUGAUGACCUGUCUAAAUCUUAGACACCAGCAAAUGUAGUCCAUUUAAAAUGAUACUGAAAAUUAUGAAGUUAGAUCACUUUUGUUUCAAAAUUUUAAGAAUAUCCAAGAUAAAGAAUAUAGCCAAAUUAGGUUGUGAAUUUUUGUUACUAUCAAGAAAUACGAAGUAUUAUUUUACUUUUUCUUUAUUCAUUCGUUGGUGAAUACUUAGGUUAUUUCCAUAUCAUCGGAUAUGAACUUGGGUGUAUAGAUGUCUCUUGAUAUCCUUGUUUUCAUUUUUUGGGGUAUAUACUCAGAAGUAGAAUUGCUGGAUCACAUGUUCUAUUUUUAAAAUUUUGAGAGAUAUCCACAUUGUUUUCCAUAGUGACUGCACUAAUUUACAUACCAAACAACAGUGCAUGUUAACUUCUUUUCCUGCACAUCCCCCACAACACUUGUUAUCCCUCUUCUUUUCUAUGAUAGUCAUUGAAACAAUAUAAGGGAAUAACUCACCGUGGUUCUGAUUUCCAUUUCUCUGAUAAUGAGUGGUACUGAGCAUCUUUUCAGGUACCUAUUGGCCAUUUGUAUGUCUUCAUCAAUAAAUGUCUAUUCAGUUCCUCUGCCUAUUUUUCAAUCAGCUUGUCUUCCUUUUGAUAGUAUGAAUACCUUAGUUAUUUUGGAAGUUAACCGUUUAUCAUAAAUGUGAUUUGUAAAUAUUUUUCUCUUAUUCCAUAAGUUGUCUUUUCACUUUUGAUGGUUUCCUUUACUGUGCAGAAUGUUUUUAGUUUGAUGUAGACCCACUAUAUCUAAAAAAAGCUGAAUCACAUAUUCUUAGGUUACAUGACGUUCAAAAAACCUUGUCUGUGUUAAUGGGGAAAGGUCUGUAACAGGUUAUUUUACAGCUCAAAUUAGCAAAACUAAUAUAUGUUAUUUUAUUAGCUGGUAGAUAAAAACUUUUCUAAGUAUAGUUAAAUUUUUUAAAAGGGGUCAAAGUAGACAUCCUUGCUUUUCUUGACUUUUCUUUUGGUUUUAAAUCCAAAAUACCAUUGUUAAGACCAAUGUCAAGGUGUUUAGCCCUUAUUUUUCUUCUAGGAGUCUUAUGGAAAUUCUACCAAUUGGGUUAGUACUAGGGUAUGUAUUUAUCGAAAAAGAACCCACAUUAAGUGGAUCUUUGCAUUUCAAACUCAUGUUGUUCAAAGGUCAGCUGUAUUUUCAUUUGUGUCUUUUUCAAUUUCUUUUAUUAAUGCCAUAUUAAUAGUUUUCAGUGCACAGAUCCUUCAUCUCCUGGUUACAUUUAUUCCUAGAUAGUUUAUUCUAUUUGAUGCAAUAAUAAAUUAAUCUCUUUUUCUAAUAUGUUAUUGUUUGCGUAUAGACUUCAACUGGUUUUGUAUAUUAAUAUGAUAGCCUGAAAAUUUACUAAAUUUAUUAGUUCUAGCCCUCUUUUGGUGGAGAUUUUAGGAUUUCUAUAUAUAAUAUUAUACCAUCAGCAAAUAAAGACAGUUUUAAUUUUUCUUCUCAAUUUGAAGAUUGAUUUCUUGGGGGGGGCGUCUUUUUCUUAUCUAAUUGCUUUGACUAACAAAUACUAUGUUCAGUAAAAAAGCAGAGAGUAGACAUCCUUGUCAGGUUCCUGAUCUUAGAGAAAAAACUUUUCAGUUUUUCACUGUUGAGUAUGAUGUUAGCUGUGCCUGGGUCAUAUAUUGAGUUAUGUUCCAUCAAUUCCCAAUUUGUUAAGUUUCUAUCAUGAAAGACUGAUGAAUUUUGUCAGAUGCUUUUUCUGCAUCUGUUGAGAUACUCAUAGGCUUUUUAUCCUUCUAUUUUGUUAGUGUGGUAUAUCAUUUUGAUUAAUUGCAGAUGUUGAACCAUCCUUGCAUUGCUGGUAUAAAUCCCACUUGAUAAUGGUAUUUGAUUCUUUUAAUGUAUUGUUGAGUUUGAUAUGCUAGUAUUUUGCUGAGGAUUUUUGUAUCUAUAUUUAUCAGAUACAAUAGCCUGUAAUUUUCUUUCCUUGUUGUUCCCUUGCCUCAUUUUGGUAUCAGAGUAAUGCUAGCCUCAUAAAAUGAACUUUGGAGUCUUUCCUUCUCUUUUGUUUUUAGCAGUGUUUGAGAAUGUUUGGUGUUGAUUUUUCUUUAAAUAUUUGGUAGAACUCAUCAGCAAAGCCAUAUAAUCCUGAACUUUUCAUUUGGGGGAAAUUUCUGAUUGCUGAUUCAGUCUCCUUAUAGGUAAUUGGUGUUCAGAUCUUCCUAUUCUUAAUGAUUAAUUCUUUGUAAAUCAUCUGUUUCUAGAUAUUUAUUCAUUUUUUAUAGGUUGUAUAAUUUGUCAGUACAUAGUUGUUCAUAACAAUCAGUGUUCUUUUGUAUUUCUGUGAUAUCAGUUGUAAUGUCUCCCUUUUCAUUUUAAGGAGAUUGAUGCAUAAAAUUAUUUUGUCUUCAGUUAUAUGCAAUAUGAAUGAUAUCCAUCUCUCCUUUCACUUGU
rnacentral:lncRNA from 1 species